rnacentral:tRNA from 1 species
GUAGCUCAGUUGGUUAGAGCGUCGGCCUGUCACGCCGAAGGUCGCGGGUUCGAGUCCCGUC